rnacentral:rRNA from 1 species
UCCUCUAGAGAUUCUUGGUCAUUUAGAGGAAGUAAAAGUCGUAACAAGGUCUCCGUAGGUGAACUGCGGAGGGAUCAUUACACAAAUAUGAAGGCGGGCUGGAACCUCUCGGGGUUACAGCCUUGCUGAAUUAUUCACCCUUGUCUUUUGCGUACUUCUUGUUUCCUUGGUGGGUUCGCCCACCACUAGGACAAACAUAAACCUUUUGUAAUUGCAAUCAGCGUCAGUAACAAAUUAAUAAUUACAACUUUCAACAACGGAUCUCUUGGUUCUGGCAUCGAUGAAGAACGCAGCGAAAUGCGAUAAGUAGUGUGAAUUGCAGAAUUCAGUGAAUCAUCGAAUCUUUGAACGCACAUUGCGCCCUUUGGUAUUCCAAAGGGCAUGCCUGUUCGAGCGUCAUUUGUACCCUCAAGCUUUGCUUGGUGUUGGGCGUCUUGUCUCUAGCUUUGCUGGAGACUCGCCUUAAAGUAAUUGGCAGCCGGCCUACUGGUUUCGGAGCGCAGCACAAGUCGCACUCUCUAUCAGCAAAGGUCUAGCAUCCAUUAAGCCUUUUUUUCAACUUUUGACCUCGGAUCAGGUAGGGAUACCCGCUGAACUUAAGCAUAUCAAUAAGCGGAGGAAAAGAAACCAACAGGGAUUGCCCUAGUAACGGCGAGUGAAGCGGCAACAGCUCAAAUUUGAAAUCUGGCUCUUUUAGAGUCCGAGUUGUAAUUUGCAGAGGGCGCUUUGGCUUUGGCAGCGGUCCAAGUUCCUUGGAACAGGACGUCACAGAGGGUGAGAAUCCCGUACGUGGUCGCUGGCUAUUGCCGUGUAAAGCCCCUUCGACGAGUCGAGUUGUUUGGGAAUGCAGCUCUAAAUGGGAGGUACAUUUCUUCUAAAGCUAAAUAUUGGCCAGAGACCGAUAGCGCACAAGUAGAGUGAUCGAAAGAUGAAAAGAAUC